rnacentral:rRNA from 1 species
UUGGAGGGCAAGUCUGGUGCCAGCAGCCGCGGUAAUUCCAGCUCCAAUAGCGUAUAUUAAAGUUGUUGCAGUUAAAAAGCUCGUAGUUGAAUUUCGGGGUUAGUAGGUUGGUCGUGCCUCAGGUAUGUACUGAUCUCACUGAUUCCUCCUUCCUGAUGAACCGUAAUGCCAUUAAUUUGGUGUUGCGGGGAAACUGGACUGUUACUUUGAAAAAAUUAGAGUGUUUAAAGCAGGCUAACGCUUGAAUACAUUAGCAUGGAAUAAUGAAAUAGGACGUUCGAUCCUAUUUUGUUGGUUUCUAGGGUUGACGUAAUGAUUAAUAGGGAUAGUUGGGGGCAUUAGUAUUCAAUUGUCAGAGGUGAAAUUCUUGGAUUUAUUGAAGACUAACUACUGCGAAAGCAUUUGCCAAGGAUGUUUUCAUUAAUCAAGAACGAAAGUUAGGGGAUCGAAGACGAUCAGAUACCGUCGUAGUCUUAACCAUAAACUAUGCCGACUAGGGAUCGGAUGAUGUUAAUUUUUUAAUGACUCAUUCGGCGCCUUACGGGAAA